rnacentral:rRNA from 1 species
UACGUAGGGGGCAAGCGUUGUCCGGAAUCAUUGGGCGUAAAGAGCGUGUAGGCGGCCCGAUAAGUCCGCUGUGAAAGUCCAGGGCUCAACCCUGGGAUGCCGGUGGAUACUGUCGGGCUCGAGUCCGGAAGAGGAGUGUGGAAUUCCUGGUGUAGCGGUGAAAUGCGCAGAUAUCGGGAGGAACACCGGUGGCGAAGGCGGUUCUCUGGGCCUUACCUGACGCUGAGGAGCGAAAGCGUGGGGAGCGAACAGG